UACGGAGGGGGCUAGCGUUGUUCGGAAUGACUGGGCGUAAAGCGCGCGUAGGCGGAUCGGAUAGUUGGGGGUGAAAGCCCAGGGCUCAACCCUGGAAUGGCCUUCAAAACUCUCGAUCUAGAGUUCGAGAGAGGUGAGUGGAAUUCCGAGUGUAGAGGUGAAAUUCGUAGAUAUUCGGAGGAACACCAGUGGCGAAGGCGGCUCACUGGCUCGACACUGACGCUGAGGUGCGAAAGCGUGGGGAGCAAACAGG
rnacentral:rRNA from 1 species